UGGGGAAUAUUGGACAAUGGGCGCAAGCCUGAUCCAGCCAUGCCGCGUGAGUGACGAAGGCCUUAGGGUUGUAAAGCUCUUUUGGCGGGGAAGAUAAUGACGGUACCCGCAGAAUAAGCUUCGGCUAACUUCGUGCCAGCAGCCGCGGUAAUACGAAGGGAGCUAGCGUUGUUCGGAAUCACUGGGCGUAAAGCGCACGUAGGUGGGCAGUUAAGUCAGGGGUGAAAGCCCGAGGCUCAACCUCGGAAUUGCCUCUGAUACUGGCUGUCUAGAGUUCGAGAGAGGUGAGUGGAAUUCCUAGUGUAGAGGUGAAAUUCGUAGAUAUUAGGAAGAACACCGGUGGCGAAGGCGGCUCACUGGCUCGAUACUGACACUGAGGUGCGAAAGCGUGGGGAGCAAACAGGAUUAGAUACCCUUGUAGUCCCUGAGCGGGCUGGCAAGGCGCAU
rnacentral:rRNA from 1 species